AGUGAACGCUGGCGGUAGGCCUAACACAUGCAAGUCGAACGGCAGCACAGUAAGAGCUUGCUCUUACGGGUUGCGAGUGGCGGACGGGUGAGGAAUACAUCGGGAUCUACUUUUUCGUGGGGGAUAAUGUAGGGAAACUUAAGCUAAUACCGCAUCUGCUCUACGGGUGAAAGCAUGGGAACUUCUGACCUUGCGGGAAUGAAUGAGCCGAUUACGGGUUAGCUGGUUGGGGGGGUAAAGACCCACGAAGGGGACGAUUCGUAGCUGGUCGGUGAGGCUGGUAGGCGACACUGGAACUGAGACACGGUCCAGACUCCUACGGGAGGCGGCAGUGUGGAAUAUUGGACAAUGGGCGCAAGCCUGACCCAGCCAUACCGCGUGGGUGAAGAAGGCCUUCGGGUUGUAAAGCCCUUUUGUUGGGAAAGAAAAGCAGCAGGUUGAUACCCCGCGGGUCUGACGGUACCCAAAGAAUAAGCACCGGCUAACUUCGUG
rnacentral:rRNA from 1 species